UGAGGUAAUCGCUGCAUUUUUUGGGAAUGUAGAGGAAAGUCCAUGCUCACACAAGCUGCGAUGCUUGUAGUGUUCGUGCUUAGCGAAGACAUAAGCUAAGGCAGAGCAAUCUGACGGCGGUGAAAACACCUAAGGUAGCAAUACUAUGGUUGAGUAACUGUAAAGUGCCACAGAGACGAGCUUAUAACGAAAGUGAUAAGAUGAAACGUUGGUAAACCCCGCGAGUGAGAAACCCAAAUUUUGGUAGGGGAGUCUGCCUCAAAGAAAACAGAACGGCGAGGGGAUUAGCAUAUCCGUGCUAAAGAUAAAUGAUUACCGCUACAGGUACGAGACGAAAGUCGUUUGGAGUACGGUAGGACAGAACAUGGCUUAUG
rnacentral:RNase_P_RNA from 1 species